rnacentral:rRNA from 1 species
GAACGCUGGCGGCAGGCCUAACACAUGCAAGUCGAACGCGUGUAGCAAUACACGAGUGGCGCACGGGAGAGUAACGCGUGGGAACCUACCUUUUGGUUCGGAAUAACGUCGGGAAACUGACGCUAAUACCGGAUAAGCCCUACGGGGGAAAGAUUUAUCGCCGAUAGAUGGGCCCGCGUUAGAUUAGCUAGUUGGUGAGGUAACGGCUCACCAAGGCUACGAUCUAUAGCUGGUCUGAGAGGACGAUCAGCCUCACUGGGACUGAGACACGGCCCAGACUCCUACGGGAGGCAGCAGUGGGGAAUAUUGGACAAUGGGGGCAACCCUGAUCCAGCCAUGCCGCGUGAAUGAUGAAGGCCUUCGGGUUGUAAAAUUCUUUUGGCGGGGACGAUGAUGACGGUACCCGCAGAAUAAGCUCCGGCUAACUUCGUGCCAGCAGCCGCGGUAAUACGAAGGGGGCUAGCGUUGUUCGGAAUUACUGGGCGUAAAGGGCGCGUAGGCGGCUUGAUAAGU